rnacentral:rRNA from 1 species
AACGAACGCUGGCGGCAGGCUUAACACAUGCAAGUCGAGCGCAUCCUUCGGGGUGAGCGGCAGACGGGUGAGUAACGCGUGGGAAUCUACCUUUUGCUACGGAAUAGCUCCGGGAAACUGGAAUUAAUACCGUAUGUGCCCUUAGGGGGAAAGAUUUAUCGGCAAGAGAUGAGCCCGCGUUGGAUUAGCUAGUUGGUGGGGUAAAGGCCUACCAAGGCGACGAUCCAUAGCUGGUCUGAGAGGAUGAUCAGCCACAUUGGGACUGAGACACGGCCCAAACUCCUACGGGAGGCAGCAGUGGGGAAUAUUGGACAAUGGGCGCAAGCCUGAACCAGCCAUGCCGCGUGAGUGAUGAAGGCCUUAGGGUUGUAAAGCUCUUUCACCGGAGAAGAUAAUGACGGUAUCCGGAGAAGAAGCCCCGGCUAACUUCGUG